rnacentral:tRNA from 1 species
GCGCCUGCUGCCGCGUCCCGGGCCUGCUGGGCGGCCUGGCGGGCCGCCUUGGCCUGUCCCGCGUCCGAUACGGCGGCGUUCGCCGCGCGGUAGGCGCG